GAGUUUGAUCUUGGCUCAGGAUGAACGCUAGCGGCAGGCUUAACACAUGCAAGUCGAGGGGUAUAGGUUUUCGGACCUAGAGACCGGCGCACGGGUGCGUAACGCGUAUACAAUCUACCUUUUACAGAGGGAUAGCCCAGAGAAAUUUGGAUUAAUACCUCAUAGUAUUAUGAUAAGGCAUCUUAUUAUAAUUAAAGUUUCAACGGUAAAAGAUGAGCAUGCGUCCCAUUAGCUAGAUGGUAAGGUAACGGCUUACCAUGGCGACGAUGGGUAGGGGUCCUGAGAGGGAGAUCCCCACACUGGUACUGAGACACGGACCAGACUCCUACGGGAGCAGCAGUGAGGAAUAUUGGUCAAUGGGCGCAAGCCUGAACCAGCCAUGCCGCGUGCAGGAUGACGGUCCUAUGGAUUGUAAACUGCUUUUGUACAGGAAGAACACUGGAACGUGUUCCAGCUUGACGGUACUGUAAGAAUAAGGAUCGGCUAACUCCGUGCCAGCAGCCGCUGUAAU
rnacentral:rRNA from 1 species